rnacentral:rRNA from 1 species
UACGUAGGGACCGAGCGUUGUCCGGAAUUACUGGGCGUAAAGAGCGUGUAGGCGGCCUGAAAGGUCAGCUGUGAAAACUCGAGGCUCAACCUCGAGACGUCGGUUGAAACCAUCUGGCUAGAGUCCGGAAGAGGAGAGUGGAAUUCCCGGUGUAGCGGUGAAAUUCGUAGAUAUCGGGAGGAACACCAGUGGCGAAGGCGGCGAUCUGGGAAGAUACUGAACGCUGAGGGUGGCGAAAAGCGUGGGGGAGCAAACAGG